GCCCCUGUUGUCUAAUGGUUAUGACGUCAGACUUCUACCAAUAUGUCGGUGAUCUGGAGGUUGCGAGUUCGAGUCUCGCCAGGGGUU
rnacentral:tRNA from 1 species